rfam:Rhodococcus sp. RD6.2 genome assembly, contig: RHCRD62_Contig_3
CGCGAGGUACCGCCUAAUCGAACUCCCGUGAGGGACUCGAACCGGGAACCCACCGUUUUCUGGGGUGAAUCCCGACGGAGCGCACACGCGUGACGCCGGGUAGGGCUGAUCUUCCCAGCCCGAACCCGUCAGCUAACUCGGUCGGCGGAGGAAUGGAAGAAAG